rnacentral:sRNA from 3 species
AUGCCUCAGAGGUCGUGUGGGAUGAGAACCUGCGUUCAGGUUCGAGCCGAGCGAAGCGAGACGACAACGCGCAGCGUUGCCCAAAGGCCGAGUCAAUCCUGCACGACCCGCCA